AGCGACAACGGCAAACCCGGAGAAAUCCGGCGACGCAAAGCCACGGGUCCUCGUCAACCUGAACAUUGGUGCAGGUGGAACGGAUAGCCGGGUUACCGAAG
rnacentral:ncRNA from 1 species